UUGGAUUUGUUUCUUUCUUCCCUCUGUUUCUCCCAAUUUUCAAUUCAACUUUGAAAUCUCGUUUGAUUGCCGAGAAACCCUAGAAAUUAAUUUGAUUUUGAACUCAUGAUUUUCUCGGCAAUCGAACGAUUAAUUGGGGAAAAUUUGAGGGGUUUAGUGUUAUGUUUGUGAUGUUUUGUGUUUGUUUGCCUUAACUGAAGCGAACGCGGUAACCAGAGAGACCGAGAUCGCGAAAGGGCUCAGGCCAGGUCCGGCAACAAGACCAAGCAGCCCAAAACCGAUGGAUUAACCCCUGAACAACGCCGAGAAAGGGACGCCAAGGCGCUGCAGGAAAAGGCGGCAAAGAAGGCGGUGCAGGCGCAGGCGGCCGGAGGGAACAAAGCGGGAGGAAUCAAUGCUGGCGGCAAGAAGUAGGGAUGUGAAGAUUAGGGUAGAAAGGUGGGAGUAAUGUAUAUUGUAAGAUGAGAUAUUAGAUGAUUUGUGUGUGUUUGAGUCUGGGAUUUGGGUGUUGGGUUUGAGAUGAUCAAAUCAGAUCAAGUGUUUGUCUUGGUGAGAAUUGGGAUUGGCAUUGAUAUGGUGUGUAUUAUUGUUUUAAAACCUAUCAGCUUUCUACCCAAUGAAUUUCCAUUUAAAUUACACUC